AUUUAACCGGAAAACCAUUUUCUUUGCUAAUUUCGCAAUACAACAGACCCUUGUCUUGAUUCUCUGACUGUUCUAUCUGUUUCUUUCUCGGUGAUUUCGGCACGGGCACUUCGAUCUCGACAAAACCAUCAAUUCUUACCUUGCAUAACUUAAACCGAAACUGGACGAAGCAAUGGAUACAUGACUAAAUUUAUCCUGAAGGGAGGAAUAUUCUUCAAGUGGAACGAACAUAGAAUUUGACUGAUUUCCUUGAAUAUCUUUACAGAAAAUAAAUGAGAGAUGUUAAAUUCGUACGAUUUUUAUUUAUUUUACCUGCAUUGGUUUUAUAACAUCAAUUGCUUGACCAUCACUUUUGCUGAGGUCAUUUGAGCUUGUAUCUCCAUAGAGUCUCGGACAAGUCCACUCACAAAAUCUACAUCGUCGGGUUUCUAGCAAUUCAAGGUUUCAUCGAUCAUGGCUAACCAAGGCCACAAUGAGUCGGUGCCGAUGAAGCCAAGCACUGCUGUUGAUAAUGACGGCAACGCGCACGGCAGUUCUGAUACUGACGAGGAGAAGAAGGACAGGAGCGAUGGUGAUUAUGCUGCCUCUGAAGGCGGCGAAGAUUAUGCUGCUUCUGAGGGCACGGAGGAAGAAGAAAGGGAAAUGCAGGAAUAUCGGAGAAUUCUGGAGGAGUCUGAUGGUUUUGAUAUCGGAAAAGCUCCCACAAAGAAUUAUAUUGGUGGUAGAGCCGAGCUUGUUGUGAAAGAUUUGGAAGAUGCUCGUACCACGGACUGCAUUGAGGCUGUCAAUGUAGCAAUUGAGCUAGAGAACGAGGUGGAGGGUGCAAAUUUGGAAUUCGUGGAGGUAAUCAAGGCAAAUUGGACAGGAUUUACUUAUUAUUGGGUAACCUUUUUAGCUCGAAACAAGACUACCGGAGAGGUCAACACUUAUCAAUCAAAGAUCUAUAACAAUUUGGCGGAUGGCGAGAUUGAAAUCGAUUUAUUCAGGCUCAAACCAAGUGGAGAUAGUACAGCUAUCCAAGCUUAAUUGAAAAUCAUCAAGAUGGCAUAGGAUGCUUACAAAUUGUGGAGAUCUUCGAGAGAUUCCUACGAAUUUAUUCCGUUCAAUAUGGUGGUCGAUAUUAUUUUCUGAAGGGUAAUGAAUAAAUAUUUCAUCAACUAAUCGGGAAGUAUAACUGCUAACAAAUGCUGUUCCAGUUGCAUAGGAGGAGUAGCAAACCAUUUAGGAUUAUAGAUUAACUAAGCAUUUGUUCUUACCGAAAUCUGCAGAUUGGUUUUGAAUUCUCCCAAUAACAUUGAAAUUUAAAGAGACAAGAUUUUGUCAAAUUUUGCAGACAUAUAGAUCAGGUUGUGAUUGACAUGUUGUCAAAUGUUAGAGGUAUAAAGAGCAGGUUGUAAUUGACCUCAAUGUGCAUGAAUAUGCUAUUUUUAGGGAAAAUAUACAGAUAUGUCCCUAAUUUUACCUCAGAGAUUUGUUGUUUACACUAAUGCUAGUCACAACAGCAAAAUUGAUCACUAUCUAUACAUCUUCAGCAAUUGUCAUGCAAGGUGCCUAUGUUUCUAUCAUAUUCUUCUGCUCCGUAGCAACAUCAUCUGAUUUAACCGGAAAACCAUUUUCUUUGCUAAGUUCACAAUACAGUACACCCUUACCUUGAUCCUCGGACUGCUCUAUCUGUUUCUGUCUUAGUGAUUUCUGCACGGGUACUUCGAUCCCGACAGAACCAUCAACUCCUACCUUGCAUAACAAAAAACAAAACUCGAUUAAGUAAUGAAUAGUUGAUUGAAUAUAUCCUGAAGGGAGGAAUUUUCUUCAAGUGGAACGAACAUAGAAUCUGACGAUUCCCACUUUUCGGAACGAAAAUGAGAAAUAUCAAAUUCUUACGAUAUCUAUGUACUUUACCUGCAUUGGUUUCAUAACAUCAACUGCUUGACCAUCAGUUUUGCUAAGGUCACCUUGAGCUUGUAUCUCCAUAGAGUCUUGAACGAGUCGACUCGCAAAAUCUACAUCAUCGGACAUGACACCAAGUCCUUUCAAAAGCUUAGAGCCAAGUUGCAAACCUGUCUGCAUGAACUAUCCAGGCGUAACUGAAAUCAUCAAGAUCGCAUAGGUUGCUUAUGGAUUGUGGAUAUCUCCGAGAAAUUUGUAUGCCAUCCCGUCCCUCUGUCAUUGUCCGUAGCAACGUCAUCUGUCAUCUGAUUUAAUCGGAAAACCAUUCUUUCCUAAGUUCAUAAUACAACACACCCUUGCCUUGAUC